UACGGAGGGAGCUAGCGUUGUUCGGAAAUACUGGGCGUAAAGCGCACGUAGGCGGCGCAGUAAGUCAGGGGUGAAAUCCCGGGGCUCAACCCCGGAACUGCCCUUGAAACUGCAGUGCUAGAAUCUUGGAGAGGUCAGUGGAAUUCCGAGUGUAGAGGUGAAAUGCGUAGAUAUUGGGAGGAACACCAGUGGCGAAGGCGGCUCACUGGACCGGAACUGACGCUGAGGCGCGAAAGCGUGGGGAGCAAACGGG
rnacentral:rRNA from 1 species